AAAGGGCAGGAAAUGGCUGCGGCGAGGGUCUCUCCACGCUCUCCGCUGUACCGCCGGCGCACCCAGGACCUGCCUCUCGGUUUCGGAGGACCGCUCAGCCCCCAGGCUUCCUGCCCUGGGGGCGGGAAAGGGAGGGAAGGCUUCUUCCACGGCCUCCAUCACCGGGAACCACACCUGCAGCAACCCGAGGACGAGAGCUUCGGCCGCGUUCGGAUCUUAUUGGCCCCACAUGAUUUCCAAGUGCUCUUUUAUCAACCCAGUCUUUAUUGAUUACCUAUCCUGUUCCAAGUACCGUGCCAGGACUUGGGUGUGCACUGGUGUACAAAAGACAGGGUCCUGCCCCCUUGGAGUUUUAUCACCUGCCAGGAGAAACAGGUGUAAAUUAACCUAGCAAACGUCCAGUUACAGCCCAAAGUGCUCUGAGGAGAAGGAGCAGGGUGAAGUGACAGAAGAUGCAACUGGGGCUAGGGGAAGGGGCCUUCCACCAAUUGAGCUUGGUCGCUGAUAGGGCUCCUUCGCUUAAGAAUAAGUUCUUCCGCUCCCUUCCAGUUCCCUGGAGAAGAGUCCCUGAAGCUGCCACCUCUUUUACAGGGGCCUGCCUCAACUUCAUUCUGGAAGAAUUGCCUAACGGACAAAUAGGUGGCAGGAAGCACUGAGAGGACAGGUACCUUUCUCUUCAAGGCUUAUCUGCCGUGUCGGGCUCUUUAAAGAAGCAAUUAUCUGCCCAGCGGUGGCUCACACCUGUAAUACCAAAACUUUGGGAGGCCGAGGAGAGAGGAUUGCUUGAGCUCAGGAAUUGGAGACCAUCCUGGGCAACUCAACGAAACUUCAUCUCUACUAAAAAUUAAAAAAAAAAAAAAAUAGAUGGGUGUGGUGGCAUCCACCUUUUGUCCCAGCUACUCAGGAGGCUGAGGUGGGAGGAUUGCUUGAGCCUGGGAGAUUGAGGCUACAGUGAGCUAUGAUCCUGCCGCCGCACUCCAGACUGGGUGACAGAGUGAGACUCUGUCUCAAAAAAAAAAAAAAAAGAAUGAAAGAGAGAGACGGGGGGAGAGAGAGAGAGAGAAAGGAAGAAAGAAAAAGAAAGAGAGAGAAAGAAGAGAAGGAAAGAAAGAAGAGAAAGAAAGAGAGAAAAGAAAAAGAGAAAGAAACAAUUCUCAUUGAAAUCCAGCCUGGUAGGCCUUCAGACCAGGCUGAAGUCAGGCUGCACCAAAUUCUAACCUUGAGACACCUGAGCAGGUCACUUCACCACUCUGCUCCACAGAGGUCACCGUAUCUGCAACACAGGGAAUAACAGUUGCCCUUUAUACCUUACAGGGUAAAUAAUUUGAAAACAUUUGAGACAUUGUGGAGUGUAUGUAGAUAUAAGGAGUGGUUUCCUAAGGCCCACAAAUUUAUACUUAAUCACUCAGCUGUUCCUAAUAAGGGCAAUUUGUGGAGGAGCCCCGUUAUUCAAGCUCCAGCAAAGGACUUGUGGAAGCCUUUGCUUUCCUUUACUGAUCUCACCUUAUUUCCCACGUGCUCAGAAUCCAUAAUUCCUUGUGGUUUGAUCUUAAAUCGCUAAUUCCAAUUCAAAUUGCUAUUUCGGAAAAAAAUGACUUAUAUAUAUAUAUAUAUACACACACAUACAUUUCUUCCCUGGUUCAGUGUGAAAAGCUGUGGGGGUGUUUGUGGAGGAUGGGUUUAAAAACAGAACUGAGGUUUCCUUUUUAAAAAAUGUUUCAUUUUCCACCGUGAUCCUUGGGAUUUCAAGUUCAGUGAUUACAAAUACUUAACAAUGAGAAUCCCAAUAAAUCAGAUUUUCAUUCUAAGGGGCAUAUUAUUGCAGAUGGUAUAGUUUUUUGGAAG
rnacentral:lncRNA from 1 species